AUACAUUAGGUGCCCUUCGGGGAAAGCGGAGACAGGUGGUGCAUGGUUGUCGUCAGCUCGUGUCGUGAGAUGUUGGGUUAAGUCCCGCAACGAGCGCAACCCUUACUGUUAGUUGCUACGCAAGAGCACUCUAGCAGGACCGCCGUUGACAAAACGGAGGAAGGUGGGGAUGAUGUCAAAUCAUCAUGCCCCUUAUGACCUGGGCCUCACACGUACUACAAUGGCCAUCAACAGAGGGAAGCAAAGCCGCGAGGCAGAGCAAAACCCUAAAAAUGGUCUCAGUUCGGAUCGUAGGCUGAAACCCGCCUGCGUGAAGUUGGAAUUGCUAGUAAUCGCGGAUCAGCAUGCCGCGGUGAAUACCGUUCCCGGGCCUUGUACACACCGCCCGUCACACCAUGGGAGCCGGUAAUGCCCGAAGUCAGUAGCCUAACCGCAAGGAGGGCGCUGCCGAAGGUAGGAUUGGCGACUGGGGUGAAGUCGUAACAAGGUAGCCGUAUCGGAAGGUGCGGCUGGAUCACCUC
rnacentral:rRNA from 1 species